rnacentral:tRNA from 1 species
AAAACUUUUAGUUUAAUUAGAAUUUUUCAUUUACAAUGAAAGGGUAAAAAGUUUU